rnacentral:lncRNA from 1 species
ACAGACUAUAGGCAAUCAAUUAUGGAUUUCAAAACUAUGAACUUCACACGGGCGGAUAUAAGCUCUUCUUUUCCACAGCUUUUGUGGAUCCCGUGUGCACUAGACAUGUGGCCAUGACAUGUGGAUUGAGGGAGCGUGCCAGGGUCAUUAUGUCAAAACAGAAACUCAGAGACAUUAAGCUACUUGUUCCAGGUUGCAGAUCGGCUCCUGGAUAUUGGUGUUCUGCUGAUCCUUCAUACUUUUCACUGCAUUGAUUACCUGAACUCUGCAAGAGAUUUUGGACUCCAAAUCAAAGAUCAAAGCGUCUUGGAUUAGUCAUUUGAUCUUGGCUUCUGAGGGCUCAUUUGUAGAGUGGUGAGAAUAAUAUCUAACUUGCUAAUCUUUCAGAGACAUUCUGAGAGACAUAUGCAAAAGAAACUUGUA